AUGGCUCAGGAUGAACGCUGGCGGCGUGCUUAACACAUGCAAGUCGAACGAGGAACACUGAUGAAGUUUCGGAUGGAAUCGGUAUUCCGAGUGGCGGACGGGUGAGUAACGCGUGGGUAACCUGCCCUGUACAGGGGGAUAACAGUUGGAAACGACUGUUAAUACCGCAUAAGACCACAGUGCCGCAUGGCACAGGGGUAAAAACUCCGGUGGUACAGGAUGGACCCGCGUCCAAUUAGCUAGUUGGUGAGGUAACGGCCCACCAAGGCGACGAUUGGUAGCCGAUCUGAGAGGAUGACCGGCCACAUUGGGACUGAGACACGGCCCAAACUCCUACGGGAGGCAGCAGUGGGGAAUAUUGCACAAUGGGGGAAACCCUGAUGCAAGCGACGCCGCGUGAGUGAUGAAGUAUUUCGGUAUGUAAAGCUCUAUCAGCAGGGAAGAAAAUGACGGUACCUGAGUAAGAAGCCCCGGCUAACUACGUGCCAGCCGCGGC
rnacentral:rRNA from 1 species